UACGUAGGGUGCAAGCGUUAAUCGGAAUUACUGGGCGUAAAGCGUGCGCAGGCGGUUUUGUAAGUCUGUCGUGAAAUCCCCGGGCUCAACCUGGGAAUUGCGAUGGAGACUGCAAGGCUAGAAUCUGGCAGAGGGGGGUAGAAUUCCACGUGUAGCAGUGAAAUGCGUAGAGAUGUGGGAGGAACACCGGAUGGCGAAGGCAGCCCCCUGGGUCAAGAUUGAC
rnacentral:rRNA from 1 species